CCUAACACAUGCAAGUCGAACGGUAACAGGAAACAGCUUGCUGUUUCGCUGACGAGUGGCGGACGGGUGAGUAAUGUCUGGGAAACUGCCUGAUGGAGGGGGAUAACUACUGGAAACGGUAGCUAAUACCGCAUAACGUCGCAAGACCAAAGAGGGGGACCUUCGGGCCUCUUGCCAUCAGAUGUGCCCAGAUGGGAUUAGCUAGUAGGUGGGGUAACGGCUCACCUAGGCGACGAUCCCUAGCUGGUCUGAGAGGAUGACCAGCCACACUGGAACUGAGACACGGUCCAGACUCCUACGGGAGGCAGCAGUGGGGAAUAUUGCACAAUGGGCGCAAGCCUGAUGCAGCCAUGCCGCGUGUAUGAAGAAGGCCUUCGGGUUGUAAAGUACUUUCAGCGGGGAGGAAGGGAGUAAAGUUAAUACCUUUGCUCAUUGACGU
rnacentral:rRNA from 1 species